UUGAACUCAGAAAUCCGCCUGCCUCUGCCUCCCAAGUGCUGGGAUUAAAGGCGUGUGCCACCACCGCCCGGCCUUCCUGGAAUAUAUUAAUCUGAUAUAAUAUUGCCUGGGAACUGGCUAGAGAGACACAGUAGGAACACUCCUGCUGCUGUUCCUUUGGACACUGGCUUUCUGUUUGGACUGACAAAUUAUCUCCCGUCUUUCUACGCAUGCCUUAUUCUCUUUUGCACCUUUCAAUGCAUGUUGAGAAACACAUGUAUGAGAGCUAUGGUGCUUAGUAUCUGUCACUUCAUCUUUUCUUUCUUGUCAAGAUUUUGCAUCUCUGCCUAAGACUCAGAAGGAUUUCGCUGCAGGGUUGGCCUGCCUGUGCUGACUUCUUACUGGCUAACCCGUGGUUCAUGCUCCUCUCUGGUCUCCUUUAAAGGCCCCACCCACUGUGGUCUCCUGAGGAGCACUUAUGGUGGCUUUGAUACAAAGUUUUAAGCUUGUCUCAAGUCCCAAGAACAUUUCCUUCCUAAUGCCCCCAUGUUUUCUCCCUAUCUGUUAACAUGGACCAAGUACCUGCUUUCUGGGCUGAUUCAUGGCUGUAUUAGGGAAAACUCUACCAGGGAUAUAAAAUGCAGUGUCCCAUGCUUGGGCCCGAUCUUACACGCUUAUCAGUGAUUGCAAGUGCAUUUUAUAACCCUGUGCCAAAUCGAAAUCAAGGUGAUUUGUGCUUCAAUCUCCCGGAUAAAAUCAGGGCAUGCUCUAUUGCAGUCUGACCUUCCUAGUACCUUUGCUGGUGCAGCUUGCCCAUGUGCCUUGGACAAUUAUUGGAGACAGCUGAGGAGUGGCCAGAGCUGAAUCCCCAGCUGUAUCAAAAGGCUAAACUGCUCAUCCCACAGACUCCCCAGAGGUGGAUACUCCUGUGGGAGGUGGACACUCCUGUGGGCUUUGUAACACCUUGGACCUUCUCUGAGGAUCUUUCAAAGCAUCCUUGACCUCCCCAGUUCGUCUAAGAUGUGAACUCUUACAGCAAGCUGGCAGAAAGGAGCCCCAGAGAAAGCCGACAUGCUACAGGGUCUCCCUGCCAUAAUCCCAAGAGCUCAGCUGACUUCGGGCCAGGGAAGUCUCUCAGCUUUUAAAUGAGCAAGGGCAGGGAAUCCCUCUGCUUUCGCCAUUACUGUCAACCAUCAGUCCUACUUGUAAUUGUCACAGAACAAGGUCAGGACUUCCAGAAAAACCCAAGAGUCCCCGGUAAAGUUCCAGUCUGAACAGCACUUCUCCUUGAUGCAGUUCAAGUCUGUCAUGGUUAAUACUACUUUGAACAGAUUUGUGGAAAUUGUAGAUUUUUAGGAUGUCCAAUCUCCUUCAUGUGGCUGGUCGGAGAGGGUACUUAUGAUAAAUAUUUUUAAGUUAGGAUUUUAUGACUAUAAUCUGAAAUUUUCAACUUAUAUUUAACCCAAACUUCUUUUUAAAGCAAUUUCAACUCUUUUGAUUUUAUACCCUUUCAUAGCCUGGGGAGGAGCUCAGAUGUCUCUUCAAGUGCCACAGCCUGCUUUGUGAAACCCUUUUAAGAUAUGUUAAUGGAUGGGCUGAUUAUUACGAUAAAUGCCUUGUGUAGGAAACCGGACUUAAUUAUAAUAUCUAUAAUUAGUCACCGGUCAGCCUAGAAGUUAUAAUUUAUUGUUCCCUAAUUUGCCUUUAUUACCAAAGAUAUUUAACUUAAAGGGAUUAUUUUUAAGAAUAGCCUGACUUAAAUGGUAAGCAUUUAACAAACUUCAAAACUAUUUUUUCAAACUUUUCUAAACUCAUAAUUUUAGGAAAUAAUACACCACUAUGAAGAGGGUUGUUUGCAUGUGUUGAUUAAAAAACAUGGAAACACUGCUUCAUAAGAAGAAAUGAUAAAGGUUUUUUCUUCCAGACCCUUAUUUUUAGAACACCAGGUAAACUUUUAUAUUAGGCAGGUUCGAGUUAGCUGGGAACAUGCUGUUGUGUGGCUCGAGAGGUGUCUCUUUCUCAUCUAUCUAUCUAUCUAUCUAUCUAUCUAUCUAUCUAUCUAUCUAUCUAUCUGAUGUGCAUUGGUGUUUUCCCUACAUUUAUGUCUGUGUGAAGGGGUCUGAUUCUGGAGUUACAGACAGUGUGAGCUGCCAUGUGGUUGCUGGGAAUUAAACCCAGGUCCUCUGGAAGAGCAGCCAGUACUCUUAAGCAUUGACCUAUCUCUCCAGCCCCCUGAGGUCUCUCUCUCUCUCUCUCUCUCUCUCUCUCUCUCUCUCUCUCUCUCUCUCUCUCUCUCUCUCUCUCUCUCCUUUUGGUUUUUCGAGACAGGGUUUCUCUGUGUAGUCCUGGUUGUCCUUGAACUCGCUCUGUAGGCCAGGCUGGCCUCGAACUCAAAAAUCCGCCUGCCUCUGCCUCCCAAAUGCUGGAAUUAAAGGCGUGCGCCACCACGCUCAGCCCUGAGGUGUCUCUUAAUUAAACAAUUGAUGCUUGUCCUCAUAGAUGAUAAUUUGCUCUGGACAUUCAUAAAUGGAACAGCUUUUGCCACUGCUGUGACUUUUUGCAGGGAUUGUUCCACACAGCUCAAUUGGGCUUCUAGACAAAGGGCCUCUGUGCUCUCUCCUCUGACCCCAGCCCUGGCAGGACUCUGGGGUCCUUGGCCACACAGGCAUGAUGUUCUUGCAACUCUUUGUCUCUGAAUUAAUGUGGGUAUUGAAGGGGUCUUGGCCCCCAUGUGAGAUAACAGAGUCUGUUAUCUAUCGUGCCUCCCAGUAAUCUUUUUAAUAAAUUUAGAUGCACUUUGUCUUGCAGUAUGUUAGUCUGAAAUAUAUCCACAGGGAAUUGACACGUGGAUGUCAUAGACAUUCAUCUGGAGAUGCAGGAACCUCUGUCCCAGAGUGAUGGCUGCAUUAUCUGCAUGAAUAAACCUCUCAAGGAUCCACGUGUUCUGGCCAAGAUCAUCCAUGAGCCAUCUGGAUCCACUAGAAGCAGAGAGCAGAAUGCUUCUGUCUCCAUUCUCUCUUCCCAGGUCUGAGUUACAGAACUCUAGUCAUGCUACACCAAAGAUGUCAAAAUUUGAUACUCAGGGGCUCUGUUUUAAAGUCACACCCAACCUCUGGGAUGCAAGAUGCCAUGAACUUGUGUCGGAACAGGUGUGGUUUAGCCCUGAUUGGCAGUUGGUUCUUGUGUAGACCUUCCUACAACUAAGGAAAAAGCCCAGCAGCACCCUUACCAGGUGGGUGGACCAAACCUCCGUGAUCUGCUCCUGAGUCCCCAUUCUUAAACUGUAGCCUAUCUAAGGGUGUCUGUCACAGUCCUUGGCUGCUCAGAAUGAGAGCAGUGAAGGUGAGUCUUUGUUUCAUAGCGUCUAUAAAUGUGUCUCUUUUUGUCGUUGCUGUUGCUGUCUGUUUGCUAGUUUGUUUUUUUGAGACAGAGUUGCUUCCUAGUCCAGGCUGCCCUCAAACUCUUGAUACUCUUACCGCUGUCUUCCAAAUGCUGACACCACCAGCAUGUACCCCCAAGGCUAGCCUGUCCAUGAUUGUCUCUUGAUGAGAUGGUGAAGACAAAGACUAUGAUGACGAUGACAAGGUUGAGAGAAGGUUUGCACACACAGGCUCAGGCUGUAGCUCAGUAAAGUGUGAUGGUUUGAGUAUGCUUAGCCCAGGGAAUGGCUCUAUCAGAAGGUGUGGCCUUGUUGAAGUAUGUGUGUCACUGUGGGUGUGGGCUUUAAGACUCUCAUCCUACUGCCUGAAGGCCAGUAUUCUGUUAGCAGCCUUCAGAUGAAGAUGUACAGCUCUUAACUCCUCCUGUACCAUGCCUGCCUGGAUGCUGCUGCCAUGCUCCUACCUUGAUAAUGGACUGAACCUCUGAACCUGUAAGCCAGCCCCAAAUAUGUGUUGUCCUUUAUAAGACUUGCCUUGGUCAUGGUGUCUGUUCACAGUAAUAAAACCCUAACUAGGGUAGGUAAGGAACUUGUCUACCAUGCACGAGGCCCCAUGUUCAGUCUCUAAGAACCCAAUCCCAGAGAAGCCAAAUCGGAGCAAAACAAAACCUUUGUGUAUUUAGACAGCAGAGGAUGAUAGUGCAGUGACUUCUAGAGUCUUCCCCAAAUGCUCCGUCCAAGGAGAAAACAAAAGCAAAGCAAAGCAAAACAAGACAAAAACAAACAAACUACCCAAAACACCUGGAACCUAGAAUUAGCCCCAGCCUGUCUUGGAGUGAAUUUGAGGCCAGGAAGCUGAGAUGACAACCUUGGGUGUGUCCAUGUCAGGAUAAAGUAGAAAGAGUUCCUGGGUGGACCUGCUUAGUACUCUGCCUGGCAUGCGAGGAGUCCCCUGGCCCUGGCUGGAGCAGAGCCUUCCUGUGCUCUCUUACCAAGUCCUGGCUCUGGGAUUCAGAGAUAAGGCCAGAUGCUUCUCUGUUGAGUUGUCUGUGCUGAGGGUGCUGCCAAGGAGAAGUACCUAGAGAAUUGGAGGACUGUAAAGCCAUGUCUGUGGGUCAUCCGAGGCUGGUGGCCCACCUGCACUGACAGCCAUGCAUCAGGCCCUGGGUGACAGGGCUUCACUCUGAGGGCAGGUGUUCAGAUGGGGGUUCUCCUGACUUGCUGGCCACUUGAAGUCUUGUUUGGUGCAAUUUGGUUGGCUAGAUUUUUGAUCAAAUGAUAUUUGGGUAUUUUGCAGGUUUUUCCUAGGAAAUUAUGUAAAAGUUGACUAAAAACACAAGUUUCAGCAGACUGACCCGUUAUUGGUCCUCUGUGCCAUUUUCUUUCUGAAAGAAAAUACACAGGGAGAGCAGGAUGUUCUAUUUCAGAAGGAGCUUAAAAAUAUGAUUUUGAAUCUUAUGAAAUUGUCACUGUUUGAUAUUUCCCCACCUGUCAAAACAGCAAUUUCCUGCAGGUCAUUCCGACAAGAUGUGGUCCGUGGGUUCAUCUCUUUAGAGGCAGAUAGCCAGUUGUAGCUAUGAAUUGUCCUGUUACUGUCCUCUGUCAGGUUCCACAGAGAAGCAAGAAGACUGACAGCUGAACCUUUCUUUUUCCUUGGUAGUAUUUUGCUCUCUUUGCAGCUGCCACACACUCCUUUAUAUUAUACUGUCUACAGCGCAGUAGGGGCAGGCUCUGUUACCCAGAAAUCCCCUUUAGUGGAGCGUAGAUUUGUUCAUUUCUAUGUUGAUUUGAGAAUUGUCUGGGAGACAUCCACAGGCAUGCAUAACACACAAAACAAGUGUCGGGCUACAGGCUUUCUUCUCUCGACAGUCGGAUGAAGAUGUUUUACUUACUGGAACUCAGAUGUCACCUGGAAGAAUAAGAGGAGGGACUGGAGGAAGAGAAAGGAGUGGAGGAGGCAUGGUGAGGGAGGCAGGUGGUCCCUCUUGGUUAUCAAGUGUGAUGACUCCGCGAAUAUGACAAUAAAUCAAGGCAGGAAUCAAUCUGUCGGGAGGCUACUGCUCCACGCUGAUAAUGCGUCAAUCAAUAUUUAAUGUUUACACUUUAAUUAAUCCACACGCGGGAAGCAUUCUUUCAGUGACAAAAAUAAAGGGAUGAGAAAUAAAACACCUUUUAUAUCAAGGAGCCGUGUGAGUGCACGGCCUGUCUGGGUGGCUUUGAUUGGACCUGUCAUUGAUCACCGGGAGAGUCUCUGCAGCCUUCUAGUCACAUUUGGAUAUCAAGCUAAUGUGGGGGAGGGUGCAGAGGUGUCAGAAUUCAGCCUGGGAAGAUGGCGAGAUGCUCAGAACUACUGCAGAAGAGGGAUUCCAGCAAAGGUAACAGAACCACGGAGACUCUUCAAUCUCAAGCGUUGGUGGUGUCUCCCAGAAAAGACUUCCCUCCAAGGACGACAGUCUAUGUCUCCAGCAGAGGCAGGGCAGGCCUCAGAAGUGUUUUCUUCCCUGAUUUGAAGAGUGCAAGACUUGUGUUAGACGCAGGGGUUCCCAAAUCAACCCCUGGGGUUGUGGCUUGAUAUUCCUAAUACGCUGCCUUCCCCUUAUCAAUGGCUGCUUUAAAAAUGCCAGUCUAGCAUUAAAAUUAUGGUUCAACUGUGACUGUACAAGACUCAGUGGCUAUAAGUGGUUUUGUGCUGGCUUUGUACUGCCUUUUGCACUCACCUAGUGAGAUGCUUUACAGAAAUCUUUACAUUGCCUUUUGAGAUCUGGCAGUCACUGCUUGACUCUGACUUGUGACCUUCAGUGCCUUUUGCUUGGCUCACCAGUGUCUUCAGGCCUUACAAGCCAAUGGGUGGCAAAGGGCAUACCUAGAGUUUGGUUUGAAAAGAUGGCUUGGUAGACAUUAUGUUUAUUUUCCCAGGAUCCACCACUGACCAUAUUUCCAAAUUAUGGGUAGAAUUGAAACUUUUUCAAGAUCCUGUUACAGGAAGCUGGUCUAGCUUCUGUCACAUUGAGUAGUAGUUAUGUUAAGAAGUCUUUAGUGACAAAUAGUAGCCUGGGAUUUUCCAACAAGUAAAGGAACUGUUGCUGGCUGGCCCAGGACAUCUCUGGUGACUACAGAAAAAGCUUGCUGUAAACUUGCUGUGUGCCGGUCUCUCUGUAUAACCAGAAGAACCAAGGCUAAUACUUUCUCCUUCUACAAACUCUACAUUGAGUGAAAAGCUCUCAGGAAGAUUUUAAUCCUGUUAUUUGACUUUGCUUCCUAGAUGGCACUUGGCAACAUCUGGAGUCAGGGUGGGAAAGGACUACAGAUGUCUGUUGUGUAGGGACAGAAGGACUCCAACAUGGCCUAUAGCGCACCUGGCAACUAUAACCCAAACAUCCAUGCAGGAAAAAUGGAAUGCUGAAGUUUUGUCCCAUGUAGCUGUGUUGCUCUUCCUAAUGGUACCCAUUUCUGCCAGUGUCUAGUGGUGCCCUUUAUUGACUUAGCACACGCACACACACACACACACCCUUUCCAGGGUUAUCCCCUGGAGAUUGACACUGAGCCAGGAGGCCAGACAUGAGCUGUUUUUAUUGGAGCCACAGGCAGAUUGCUGCAAAAAGAAAAAGCCUGAAGUCUAGCGUCUUCAGGAUGUUGGGGGAGCUGAGUGCUGCCUCCCAAAGCUUAACCCUGUGGACAGAUCCCCUAAGUGAAUUCCCUGUUGGUCAGAUGUAGAAUCCCACAGCCUUUCCCUUUUCUCUCCCUUCCCUGUCACUCCGGUCUCACUGGACAUUAGUCCCUCUGUCUGGGAAUUGGCCACAUGAAGGGGGGGAAGCACAACAUGGAGAGCUGAGGACCUUGGGCUUGGCCUGAGUCCUUCACUGUGAGGCAUGCACAACAGGCUCUCAUCCCUAAAUCAGAUUCCUGGAGGAGGUAAUUCAAAGGAGGAGGGAUUGAUUUUUGACACUGUCCCUGGCUCCAUUGUUACCAGACAUGGAAACAUAGAACAUAGCAGUGACGAGGAAUGUGGCUGAGCAGAGGUGUUCAGUACAAGACGGCUGGGAUUGUGGACUGUGUGUGUGUGUGUGUGUGUGUGUGUGAGAGAGAGAGAGAGAGAGAGAGAGAGAGAGAGAGAGAGAGAGAGAGAGAGAGAGAGAGAGAGAGAGAGAGAGGAGAGGAGAGGAGAGGAGGCAGGGGAGGGAGACAGGCACGAAUGCGGAUACAGAGAGGUGUUCACUACAAGAUGGCUGGGAUUGGUGUGUGUGUGUGUGUAAGAGAGAGAGAAAGAGAGAGAGAGAGAGAGAGAGAGAGAGAGAGAGAGAGAGAGAGAGAGAGAGAGAGAGCGCAGAGAGAGAGCAGAGAGAGAGCAGAGAGAGACAGAGAACUAGGGACAAGGCAUAAUCUUCAAAGGCAUGAGUGCUGCGAUCCGUUUCCCUCUGCCCCCCACCCUUACCCCUUAAAAGGUUCUAUCAUCUCCCAAAGUAGCAUCACCAGCCAAUAACCAAACAGUAAGCACAGG
rnacentral:lncRNA from 1 species